UGCAACCCUUAUUCCCUAAAUAUUCCCUAAAAAAAAAAAAGGAAAUAAAAGAUAAAACGACAAGCAGUCAAUACACGGCUAGUCAGUGGAGAAUAACAUGUAUAUUCCAUUUCCAUAACAAAGAGAGAACACUGUCCAAUUUGAAGAGCAUAUAACAAAAUCUGGCUCGGGAUCCCACAUCGCCGCCUACGUGUGGGUGACCUCAUGCCUCUCCCGCCCCGCCGCCACCACAGUGAUACUACAACAGGACAAUGCACGGACACAACAAUCAACAGACGGCAGCAGGAAGGAGGCCAACACAGCGGACACACACGGAACGAGGGACAUGACAGAUAAACUGACAGACGCACGGAGCCACCACGUUUACAUAAGCCCACGUCCCUUAUCGUUUCAAAGUUUCUCCCGUCAUCACCACCGUAUCCUGGAAGGCUCUGACGCGAAGAGAAAUGUCAGGGGAUGAAAUUAACGUGGAACCAGAGGCGGCCAAGGGUUAAGGCAUAUGUAGCGGGGUAAUGGGUAGUUGGGGAAGGACGGGAAGAAAUGGAAGGGGAAAUGGUCGGGAAGGGAGUAUUUGCCACCGGUGUUGCAUUCCCGUGUCCUGCAUCUCAGGCGUGACAUGUGGCUUGUGUAACGAAGGGCUUGCCAUGAAGGGCUUGCCAUGGUGCGGGAACGUAGGUUUGUACUACAAAAGGAAGGAUUGUUGGUGUUACUCGUAAUUUCAUCUCGGUCUUCUGAAGACAUUGCUUUCUCAUCAGGACUAUUUUCAAACGUCACAGAAGUUAUUGGUCAGCUUGUCAUGGAUCCUUUUCAUAUUCCUUGUUAAACUUUUA